rnacentral:lncRNA from 1 species
CCCUUCUCUGCUGAGUGCUCACUAUUUUCCGCAAAUUGAAGUGCAAAGCAAAAUACUAGCAUAUUAAAGGCCGAAUUUUACUUCCUCCUCCCAAAUGCUUUUUGUUCUCAUAGUCCAUCCAAAUUCCAUACAUAAAAUCAAUUUCCAAUGAACAAAAUCCAGCCAAAUGAAUUAUUCAUACAAAUCACGUCAAGCAAAUUUCAUGCUUAUUUCUGGGGUGGUUUUAAAUUAGGUAUUAAUCAAUUCAAACACAUCUAAUAUUAACAUUAAGUUUAUAGUCAUGAACAAAACAUUUGAUAUCAGGCAAAUGAACAAAUUCACCAAAUUUUGUAGCAUAGGAAGGGGAAAUCAGUAAUUACAUUUUUCGAAUUGAGAUAAAUACCUCAACAGCUGAAACAAACUUAGCAGGACCAAAUAAAGGCUAAGAACAGACACGAAUUCGAUUACAAAUGAAGCGAAACAGUAGCAAACAAACAACGAUCCGAUCGAGACUAACGCCGGCGCCGGAAACCUCGAAUGCUUUAUGGGUGAGCUGGUGCUUUUGCGGCAGAUUAUAUAGCUGUUUUUCGCUAAGUUUCGACUGCUUUUUGGCCAGAUUUCAGACUGUUUUUCAAGUGAUUUCGGCAGCUGGUUUUUUGCUGGGUUUCGGAGUGAUUUUCGGACAGCUUUCAAGGCGUUUUUGGGGUGGGUUUAUGGGUGACGUUGGUGCUGUUUUUUUGGCUGAAAAUUUCUGCAAUUUUGAAGCUUUGCUUGGCUGGUUUCAGUGGACUUUUGGAGCUUGAGUUUGAGGCUUUUUAUUUUGGGUGUUAAUGGCUAAUUUUUCAUGAUCUUUUCCCCAUCCCCCUUUUAAAUAGGUUGCUUUUGUUCUUUCUUAAUUGAUGCACCAGAGAAAAAGCUUGGCUUGACAGAGACGUACUCUAACCAAUUGGUUUUACAGAUGUGCUUCAACCUUUCUUAGUAGAGAAUUUUAAGAGUGCCGUUUUUUGUUGAUGAAGAAGAUGACCUCAAGGCUGCUCUUUAUCUCUUAGGGUGUAUGUCUUUUUGUUUUUGGGUAGGUCUUAGUUUUACGCGGAGGGGAGUAGAAAUUAGGUCAGGUCAAACGAGGUAAUGAAUAUGACCUUGGAUUUAGGAAAUUGAGUUGAAUCAUGUCUUAUUGGGUUUUAAUUUUGGGCUAGAAAAACUAAAUAACAUAUUGUAAUUAUAAAAUAUAAUAAUCAAUCUUAAUUAAAAUAAGUUACUAAAAUAAAACUAAAUACUAGAAGUGAAACUAUUUGUAUUUUUAAAUUUUAUGAAUGGUAGAUAAACUAAAAGUAACUAAAUAAAAUCAAUUAGCUAGAUAAAGAAUAUAUAUAUAUAUAUAUAUAUUAAAUUUUUUUAAUUUUCACUUUUUGGGUGAUAAAAUAAAGUAAAAGAGUCAACAUUAGUUGAAAUAACUAUUGUCACACCUACCUUUUUACCUACACUCCGUAAAGGGCUAUAAUAUAAGGGGGUUUUUCCAAUUAAAGGACAAUCGAAACAGGAUUUAUAUAAAAAAAUUCAGAGUCGCCACUUGAGAGAUUUAUGGUGUCCCAAGUCACCGGUUGAAUCCCGAAUCGAGGAAAAUAUGACUCUCUUUAACAGUCCGCGAAUCAGAAAUCCGAGUAAAGAAUUCUGUUAACCCGGGAGAAGGUGUUAGGCAUUCCCGAGUUCUGUGGUUCUAGCACGGUCGCUCAACUGUUAUAAUUGGCCUAUUAUCUGAUUUUAAUACAUUUUUGAAACAUAAGUGCUUUUUUUCUAACUUUUGGAAAACCACUUUUACUCAUUUAAAGAAUUAAUUCAAGGUCAUUUAAAAUGUAUCGCAAGCCACACCACAUAAAAUCCACCCGUGGUUCACGACACGCUCUAUUUAACCUUGUUGGAAAUUAGAAUCGGGUCACAUAAAAUGCACCCCCGGGUUUUAACAUGUUUACUUCUACUAUCUUUAUUCAAAAUUAUGGUAGGGUCACAUGAAAUGCACACCCGAGUUUAAGAAAGUAAAUUAUUAAAACAUCGCGCCUAAAACAAUUACGCAUUUAUUUUUUCUAUGUUAUCAGUUUAUCAGAAAUGGUCAUUUCUACCUAUUAGACCAAUAUGUAAUUAAACUAUGACACGAAUCCAAACUAAUGCGAUUUAAUCCAAACAGAAUAGUCUCGUCGUUAUCACUUAUAGUCUAUUUAUCACUCUUACAUGUUUUAAACAUUAAACCUACGUCUCAAAUUAUUGUUAAGGCAUAUACUUAUCCUGGUUCCACACAACGAAAGUUAAUUCACACAAAAAACCAAACAUCAGCGGUUAAGGCAUACACUACUGACGAUAUACGUUAUCCUAAAACAACCAUACAUGAAAAUGAAGCAGUAGUGCACCAGCAAAGUCCAUCAAAACUAUUUGAAAAUGGAGUAGUAAAGGAACUGACCUUUUAAUUAAGAAAACUGAAAUCUUCUAGUGCAGAAGAAUCGAAAACAGUGAGAAUGAUCCCAACGGACCUUGGACGGAAAGCCAACAACUGACCAGCGCCCGACCAAAACAUACGUCGGCGAUUCUAGCGGGACUUUUUCUGAUCGGAGAACUCGAUGACGACAUCAACGACAAACUCGAAUCUCCGACUUUACCUCGAUCGCGAUUUCAACAGAUUGAAUGGACGAUGUUCUGUAGUAAACCAAGCGAAGCCUGAAACCAUAUUCACGUUCCUGUCAUGCUCACAAAAUUCGAGGGGUUCGCUACUAUCCCUUUCUCGUUCUGUGCGUGUGUGUGGCUAUGUGUAAGUGUUUUCCGGUGAGAGGGAGAUGAGGGUCGCGUUUUUCGUGACAGAAUGGAAAGGAGGAGAUUGGCUACUGCUGUGCGUGGCUGUUCAUGGUGUUGGCUGGUUGUUUGUGACGUGAAGCUUCGCCGGAAAUGGCAGCUUUGCGGUGAACGGAGGUCCAGCGACGAUGGUGAGCUGGGUGAUGUCGUUUGGUUCUGUUUGUCGCGUCUGGAACUCGUUAAUCCGACGAGCUGGUGGAGCUCGUUUUUCCAGCGAGUUUCAGGCAGAGACGGGGUCGUUUGACGAUUAACGUUCAGGGGUCGUUGGUGUUUUCUCCGGCGUGCAUGGGUUGUGUAUGGAUGCGCAGGGUGUAGGCUGGUCAUUUGGACAGCACAACAUCGCCGGAAGCGUAGGGUCGUUUGGACAGGAACAGCGUCGCCGGCAGCGUAGGGUCGUUUGGACAGGAACAACGACGCGCAGAGGGGGGUCGAGGGGUCGUUAAGAAGACGACGCAGGGGGGGGGGGUCGUUUUUGCGUAGCUGCUGCGUAUUUUUUGUCCAGCCUUGUUUCGUUUUUUUGCUUUUCUUUCAUUUAUAUAGUCUAAGUUUUUGGUAGGGUUUUAGGUUAAGGGGUAUGGGCCUAAGAAUUAUGGGCUAGGUCCAAAAUUAGGCCCAAAGAUGGGUUGCUCGAGGCCCAAGCUCUUAAUUCUUUGCGCUGNNNNNNNNNNNNNNNNNNNNNNNNNNNNNNNNNNNNNNNNNNNNNNNNNNNNNNNNNNNNNNNNNNNNNNNNNNNNNNNNNNNNNNNNNNNNNNNNNNNNNNNNNNNNNNNNNNNNNNNNNNNNNNNNNNNNNNNNNNNNNNNNNNNNNNNNNNNNNNNNNNNNNNNNNNNNNNNNNNNNNNNNNNNNNNNNNNNNNNNNNNNNNNNNNNNNNNNNNNNNNNNNNNNNNNNNNNNNNNNNNNNNNNNNNNNNNNNNNNNNNNNNNNNNNNNNNNNNNNNNNNNNNNNNNNNNNNNNNNNNNNNNNNNNNNNNNNNNNNNNUAAAAGAGUCAAAAUUACUUAAGAUAUCUAUAUUAUGCCUAAAUUAAAUAUUUUACGCUAAUAUAUAAAAAAAAUCUUGGGGAGGGUCAAAAAUCAUAUGUCUACAACUAUACUAGACCUAAACUAAAUAUUUACACUAAAAAUGUGUAAAAAAUCUUGGGAGGGUAAAAAAUUACAUGUCUACAGAUAUCAACAGGAUAGAGUCACUAAAUGGUGCCAUGGAAUCACCCAGGUCACAAUUCUCACGGUGCACGUCUGCACGCCCGUCACUUGGCAAGUGCGUCAUCUCAAUACCAAUAACAUAACACAUAAUUUGGGGUUUCGAACCCUUAGAACCAAGUUUGAAAGCGUUACUUACCUUGAACCGAGCAAAAAUCUACUCUGCAAUGCCCUUGCCUCUCAAAUCGGCCUCCGAAUGUCCCAAAUGUAGCCACAAGUAAUACAUUACAAUCAAUAUAGGCUAAAUGGAUCAAUUUGACAAGAAAACUACCAAAUUAGAGCCAAAUCCAAAAUCAGCUCAAACCCCCUGGACCCACGUCUCGAAAUCCGACAAAAGUCAUAAAAUCCGAAAGCUCAUUCAUUCACGAGUCUAACCAUACUAAAUUCAUCAAAAUCCAACAUCAUUUGCCCCUCCAAAUCCCCAAAAUUCACUCUCUAAUUCUCAAACCCUAAUCUCCCAAGUUUCACCUCAAAAACUCACCAACUAGGUGUCAAAUCAGUGAGGAACCACCAUUAUUGAAGAAUAGGCACAAGGAACUUACCUCAGUGAUUGCUUCGAAAUCCCUCUCAAAAUCCCCAAAAUCUUAGCUCAAAAAUGAUGAAAAUGGUGAAAAAUCUCGAAGUCUUCUAUUUAUAGGUUUUGCCAAGCUAAACCACACAUGUGGAUCUCCUGUCGCAUCUGCGAUGCCGCACCUGCGGGAAUUCCAUUGCAGGUGCGGAUUUUCACUUAAAAUCCCUGACUUUGCUGCUGCGACUUCAUGACCGCAUCUGCGCCUAUCGCAGGUGUGGGAGUCCAUCGCACCUGCGGCUUUCCAACGCACCUGCACCUAGCUGCACGCAUCUGAGACACUCGUAGGUGCGGGAAAAUCUUCGCACCUACGGCUUCUACCCAACUCCUUCUUAGCCUCAUCUACGGCUCCUUCUUCGUUUUUACGAACUCACACUUGUGGUUCCUACUCCGCAGGUGUGAUUACACCAGCAACAACAGCACUUCAACUGCUCAUUCAAUUCCAAAACCAAGUAUUAAACCUCCCAAAUUUCACUCGAGGCCCACGAGACCUCAACCAAAUAUAACAACAAGUCAUAUGACCCCAUGUGAACUUAGUCGAACCUUCGAAUCACUAAAAACGAUAUCAAAACACCAAAUUACACUCGGAUUCAAGCCUAAAGAAAUUCUAAACUUUCAAAUUCCACAAACGACACCGAAACCUAUCAAACUAUGUCCAAUUGACCUUAAAUUUUGCACACGUCAUAUGACACAACGGACCUACUCUAAUUCCCGAAAUUUCAAUCCGACCCCAAUAUCAAUAUUUCCACUAGUAGUCAAAUUCGCCAAAAGUUUAACUUUCGCCAAUUCAAGCUUAAUUCUACUACGGACCUCCAAAUCACAUUCCGGAUACGCUCCUAAGUCCUAAAUCACCUAACGGAGCUAACAGAACCAUCAAAAUUCAAAUCCGAUGUCGUUUACACAUAAAAUCGACAUCCAGUCAACCUUUUCAACUUAAGCUUUCAAUUAAGAGACUAUGUGUCUCAAUUCACUCCAAAACCACUCUUGACCCGAACUAACUAACCCUGUAUAUCAUAAUAUAGUUGUAGAACACAAAAGAACAGGAAAUGGGGGUGGGGUGGGGGGAAUGAGGCUAUAAAUCUCGAAAUGACAGGCCGGUUCGUUACACCAACGCAAAAGUAUUUUACAAAAUAAAACAAGCAAUGACAAGAAAUUGUUUUAAACACAUACACACACUGCCUUAGUUCCUCUAUAGAAAGUACUUCAGGGUAUUGAUGACUUUGGUGCAGAAAGAGUCAUAGGAGGUUUCAACUUCUUUGUUCAUUUUGUCCAUCUUUUCUGUCAUGGAGUUGAAUUCCCUAAUUCCUUGCCUCCUUGUGGCUCCCAUGUCCAUCCUGAGCUUAGCCAUAUCUGUACCUGUUUCUUUGGUGACUUCCCUGAUCUUGUCCACCUGUUCUUUCAUUGCAAUGAGCAUGAUUUUUACCCCAUCUAGACUUUGCUAAAUUUGUUGUAUGUUGUAGUGGCAGUCGACUGAGGCUCUGUUGAUUUAGUAGGUGCUUCGACCUGUGCUGGAGCACUUUCAACCUUGGCACGUCUGACCCAUCCAUCGUCAUUUAAGGUGUAGUCCAUCAUAGCAAAGGCUAUAUUAUCAUAGGAAAAAGUAAUGGGCUUGGGCAAGAAAGGUGCCAAGUCAACCUUCAUGACUUCAAGAAUAUGUGAGAUAAGCAAACCACAGGGUAAACAAGCAGUAAAAGAGGAUAUAUCCCUGAUACUUUCAAGCAUAUACUGACGAAUCCACAUAAGCUAGUCAAGCCUUUUAUUGUUCACAAGACAAUAAAGAAUAAAGAUAUCUCUAGGAGUCAAAAUGUUGAGGGACCCAGUUCUAGGAAGUAAAGUAGUAGCUAUCAUGUGGGCUAAAAUGCAGUGUUCAAACUUGAUAUUUUUAGGACCAAUGUCAGGAGGGUUUUCAGACAGAAAAGCUUUUACCUCUUCUAAAGAAACUUCAAAGUCCUUAGGCUCGGAAUUUUGCACAAAAACAUCAUAACCAUGAAACAUAACAUAAAAUAUCUUCUCAAAUUGAUAGGAAUCAAGAACAAUGCGAGUGCCUAAAACCAUUGACUCCAAGUCAUCUUUGUCAUUAACAAACAGAUUUGCAGUUUCACAGCUUGAUAUUUUUUCAUAUUCUUCUCCACUAAUAGCAUUGUAGAACAGAUUUUUUUCUUUAGCAUUCGCUAUUAUAAUGGUUGAUUGUUCUUCAGUUUAAUCAUCUAAAUCAAGAGGAUCAGUUGAUACUAUGACUUGACCAUUUUCAUCUUUCUUUGGAGGAAUUGGAAGAUUUCCCUUUUUGAUCAUGCACCGAACUUUAAUGUCAUAUGACAUAGUAUAGGUCUCCAUACAUAAUUUCCAGUGAGAAAAGUGUUGACCGUUGAUAUACGGGGGUCGUACCUGAGAAGUUCCUUCUUGAAAUAGCGUUCCAACGACUAUAUUUGAUCCCAUGAUCUUUUCUUCAUUUGUUGUUAAGCAAAGUUCGUGAGCUGGAUCUAAUACCAAUUGAAAGUAUAAGAGAUGGGGUGAAUUGUAACCGAUUUUAAAAAUCUUAGUUGACUAAGUAUGAGUUUAGUUGACUAGACUUUGUGCAGUGAUUGAUUUAUGUAGAGAUAAACUAAAUGAGCAAAAGGAUAAAGAAGACAUAGUAGUUUUUAUACUGGUUCAAUACCGGCAUGGUACCUACAUCCAGUUCCCUUGGGUCACAAGGGUUCUCUUAGAUCUUUGAUAAAUGUUUACAGCAAUAAUGGUUUUAGUUCGUUCACCACCAAUGAUAUACAUCAAUAGUAAUUCUUUCCAAUGUUGACAUAACUCUCAUUUUUUGUUCUAACUCUUCCUAUCUUUUAUGACACUUGUAGACUCAAGAAUACAGUGUUUGUACUAAGAACUAGAAAGGCUUAGAAACAGAUGAUGUAGUUGCGUGAUCGCUUCUUGAGUUUGCCAAUCUUCUUCUAAGAGAGUUUUGAGUAGCCGUUGCAGAUUGGCCUUUGAUUGAGGCACUGAAUGUUCUAAGAGAUUUGACCCAAGUGGUACCUCCGAAUCUUGCACAACAGAUAGGCUGGAUUCGUUUACGUCCUUCCCUUUCAUAUCCAUAAUCAAGGGAGUGAUUUAUGUCUUGAUUUGAUUGAUCAAUCUUUCGUACUUCCAAAUUCUAAAUCAGUCAAUGAAGUAGGGGCCUAAUUUCUUUUAGCGGCCGCACUUUGUAUUUUUCCUUUUUGAUAGCCUCGACAUCCUUUUAUUUAGUUUUGUUCUGACUUCCUUUAACGCCUGGACUUGAUUUUGUUUCCUUUUUGAUGACUUUGACUUCCUUUGAUUUAGCAUCGUUCUUAUUGCUUUUGAUCUCGUUUCUUUUCUGAUGUCCUUACGAAAAGGACUUCUUUUGAAGUAUUGUCGCCUAUUAAUUUCUUGCAAUUAAAUGGAUAUAGUUAUAUUUGCACUAUUGUCAUCAUUGAAACUUAGGUGUAGCAAUCAAGACUUAAGAAACAAACGAGUCAUUCAAUUAACCUCAGGGUCAAGAAACUAGUAAAGGACUUAAAGUGAAGCCAAUAAGUUCAAGAAGAAGAAAGCACAUGCUAAAGCUUCACAUGAUGCUCAGAAGGAACAUAAGGCAGAUACAUGGCAUUUAUGUAAUAAGGAAGGACACUAUCAGAAAGAUUGCCUGAAGUGUAAAGCUUGAUUAGAAAAGAAAGGUAUAAUUAGAGUUUUUGUAUGUUUCGGUUCAGAUUUAGUAGAAGUUUCUAAUAAUACUUGGUGGUUUGAUUCUAGUGCAACUGCUCAUGUAUCUACUACUUUGCGGGGAUUUCUUACGAUCCAAACUACAAAUCCAAAUAAGGAUUUCUUGUUCAUGGGAAAUUGUAUGAAGGCUCCAAUUGAAGGCAUUUGGACUUAUCGUUUGAUCAUAGGGACUAGAUGUCACCUUGAUCUAUUACUGAAUCUUUAUGUACCUUCAGUUUAUAGGAAUUUGAUUUCUCUUUCAAGACUUAAUAUUUUUGGAUUUGAUUUAAAGUUUGGAAUGGAUGUUUUAAUUUAUAUAAGAAUGUUGUUUUUUAUGAUUCUGGUAUACUUAGUGAUGGUUUAUAUAAAUCAAAACUCGAUAUUGAUUUUUCUAAAUCCCUUCUUACUGCUCAACAUAAUGUUAGAAUUAAACGUAGUUCACUAGAUGAAGGUUUUGCUUACUUUUGGCAUAGACAUUUGGGUCACAUAUCCAAAGAAAGGUUAGAAAGAUUAGUAAAGAAUGAGAUUCUUCCAAAUCUAAAUUUUACUGAUCUUAAUAUAUGUUUGGAUUGCAUCAAGGGAAAUCAAACCAAGCAUAGUAAGAAAGGUGCUACAAGAAGCACACAACUUCUUGAAAUUAUACAGACCGAUAUUCGUGGACCCUUUGAUGUUCCAUAUUUUGGCGGAGAAAAAUAUUUUAUCACUUUUAUCGAUGACUUUUCACAUUAAGGAUAUAUCCAUUUGUUGAAAGAAAACUCUCAAGCAACAGAUGUUCUCAAAGUCUUUGUUAAUGAGGUUGAAAGGCAAUUAGAUAAAAAGGUGAAAAUCAUUAGGUCAGAUAGAGGUGGUGAAUAUUAUAAAAAAUAUAAUGAAUCAAGACAAUGUCCAUGUCCAUUUGCAAAGUUCCUCGAAGAAUGUGGCAUAUGUACACAGUAUACUAUGCCAAGAACACCUCAAACAAAAUGGUAUUGCAGAAAGGCGUAAUCAAAUACUUAUGGAUAUGGUUAGGAGCAUGAUGAGUAAUUCCUCAUUACCCAAAUCAUUGUGGAUGUACACUCUUAAAACCGCUAUAUAUUUAUUAAACAGGGUUCCUAGUAAGGCAGUUCCAAAGACUCCUUUUGAACUGUGGGCAGGAAGGAAACCUAGUUUAAGAAACCUGCAUGUUUGGGGUUUCCCCACAAGAAAAGAAAUUAGAUUCUCGAACAGUAAGUGGUUACUUUAUUGAUUACCUAGAGAAAUCUAAAGGGUAUGUAUUUUACUGUCAAAACCAUAGUUUGAGAAUUAAAACCGGUAAUGCAAGAUUCAUUAAUAAUGGUGAAGUUAGUGGGAGUGUUGAAAAAUAAAGUGUGAAAAUAAAAGAGGUGAGGGUCAAUGUUCCAUUACCCAUGAAUGUGCCUACUUCCACAUAAAUAACAAAUAUCUUUCCAGUUGUUGAAAAAUACAACAUUUGGAUGAAAUACUUCAUGAAGAAACUAACUCACAAAUAUCUUACACAAAGGAACCAUAAGAAAUGCCAUUAAGAAAAUCUCAAAGAGUAAGAAAAUUGGCUAUCAGAUGAUUACGUGGUUUAUUUGCAAGAGUCAUAUUUUGACAUUGGUCUUAGUAAGUACCCGGUUUCAUUUUCAUAAGUCAUAGAAAGUAAUAAGUCUGAAAGAUGGAUUGAUGUCAUAAAGAAAGAGCUAAAAUCCAUGGAAUACAAUAAAGUAUGGGAUCUCGUUAAAUUACCAUAAAGUUCUAAAAUAACCAGGUGUAGAUGGGUAUUUAAGACAAAACGCGAUUUAAAUGGCAAUAUUGAACGAUAUAAAGCUAGACUUGUUGCCAAGGAUUAUACUCAGAAAGGAGGCAUUGAUUAUAAAGAGAUCUUUUCACCGAUCUCUAAAAUGUACACGUUAAGAAUUAUUAUGGCUUUGGUAGCUCAUUAUGAUUUAGAGUUACACCAAAUGGAUGUGAAAACUACCUUUCUUAAUUG